UUUAAAGCUCAUCUUUAGAAAACUGUAAGGAAAAGGCAAUCUUUUCUCCAGUUCUUUAGAGCUUAUACCUGGGGAGCACCUUGAACAGUCUGGGGGAAAUUUCUAGAUAAAAGUCCAUGGAGCAGGGCUUCUAGAAAGGUAGGUUCCUAUAGCUGCCUACCCUAUUCUCUGAACAGAGCAGCGAUGCCACACAUUUGGAGACCAGCAUGGUCUUCAAGUAAGAUAGUACCAUGCUAGUCUCCAAAUGACCCCCAGGGAGAUGGAUUUCUAGCAGAACCUCUUCAUUCUCUGGCUGCAGUGGGUCCAAAAGAUUCCUUUCCAUGAUGCAUCCCAGCCUUACAGAAGAAAUGCAUGUUAGAUCCUUCUAUCAUCCUGAGAAUUUGGACAUGUGAAAAUAAGCAAGAAACCCAGAACCAAAUGUAUAGAUUUGGAAGCUGUUGAUCUGAGAAGAAUCUGAGCCUGAAAGUGUUAUUCUCACUGGCUCUGGCCUGGACCAAGAGAAUGCAGAAAUGGCUUCCAUUCUGUGAGCUGUGACUUCUAACGUGGCCACAUAGCUGGUGGAGAGGUGACAACCUUCAUCUCCAAGGAUCCCCUGCACUGCUUGCUUUAUGCCCAGAGCAACCUCAUGCUGACAAGGACUGCACAGUUUUGAACACCCAUGCUCCAAUCAAAAGAAACCAAUUUGUGAGAGACGAUAUAAAUCCAUGAAUACUGCACUGAAACCUCUUUCUGCUCCAGGCAGAGAAGAUAAAUUACCACCCGAGUGAUAUAAAGUUAGUUUGAAUAUUUCAUUGGAUCAAAUGCAACAUGUCUCAGAACCUCUCCUCUUUUAAGUCAGAAUUAAAGAAUUGUUAUCAGGCAUAAUAAUAGACACUAUCAUUUGCAUACAUUUUAUCUCAAGAGACUUUUGAAGUUAUGCAAUACGCCAGUGGUUAAUUGUUCUUCACACUCCUGACAUAUCAAAUUACAGCUCAGAUGAGAGAGCAACCCAUUUGUGACUGGAAUGAUUGGCAGGAGCCUACAAGGAGAGCAUCUUCGAGGACUGAAGGAGGAGUAUCUUUUCAGGCUUUUCCAUGGAGACCUUGGAGACCAUGGGUUCUAGAUGGUUCUGUUAUAACAUGAUGGAGACUUCAUUAGUCUGGGUUCCUAGACGAGUGUGAAACACUUUCCCCACUGAUUGAAUUACAAUUAUAAUGUGAAAGAAAAAUAAAUCUUUAUUGUGUAAAACUACUGAAAUAUCAGAGUUACAAUACUGUAGUGUAGCAAAUUCUGGCAAAUACUUCCCAGCAUAUUUUCAAUUCCAUUUCAUUGGCCAAGCCUAGAUGAUAUGGUCACCUAUAGCUGAAGGAAGGCUGGGAAAGAUGGAAGAGGAUUGCUUAUUUGGCUUAAA
rnacentral:lncRNA from 1 species